rnacentral:rRNA from 1 species
GGCCGCGAAUUCGCCCUUAGGGUUUGAUUAUGGCUCAGAUUGAACGCUGGCGGCAGGCCUAACACAUGCAAGUCGAGCGGUAACAGAAGAAAGCUUGCUUUCUUGCUGACGAGCGGCGGACGGGUGAGUAAUGUAUGGGGAUCUGCCCGAUAGAGGGGGAUAACUACUGGAAACGGUGGCUAAUACCGCAUAAUGUCUACGGACCAAAGCAGGGGCUCUUCGGACCUUACACUAUCGGAUGAACCCAUAUGGGAUUAGCUAGUAGGUGGGGUAAAGGCUCACCUAGGCGACAAUCUCUAGCUGGUCUGAGAGGAUGGUCAGCCACACUGGGACUGAGACACGGCCCAGACUCCUACGGGAGGCAGCAGUGGGGAAUAUUGCACAAUGGGCGCAAGCCUGAUGCAGCCAUGCCGCGUGUAUGAAGAAGGCCUUAGGGUUGUAAAGUACUUUCAGCGGGGAGGAAGGUGAUAAGGUUAAUACCCUUGUCAAUUGACGUUACCCGCA